UACGGAGGAUGCAAGCGUUAUCCGGAAUGAUUGGGCGUAAAGCGUCCGCAGGUGGCUAUGUAAGUCUGCUGUUAAAGAGUUUAGCUCAACUAGAUAAGAGCAGUGGAAACUACAAGGCUAGAGUACGUUCGGGGCAGAGGGAAUUCCUGGUGUAGCGGUGAAAUGCGUAGAGAUCAGGAAGAACACCAGUGGCGAAGGCGCUCUGCUAGGCCGUAACUGACACUGAGGGACGAAAGCUAGGGGAGCGAAUGGG
rnacentral:rRNA from 1 species